rnacentral:rRNA from 1 species
AGUGAACGCUGGCGGUAGGCCUAACACAUGCAAGUCGAACGGCAGCACAGUAAGAGCUUGCUCUUACGGGUGGCGAGUGGCGGACGGGUGAGGAAUACAUCGGAAUCUACUUUUUCGUGGGGGAUAACGUAGGGAAACUUACGCUAAUACCGCAUACGACCUACGGGUGAAAGCAGGGGAUCUUCGGACCUUGCGCGAUUGAAUGAGCCGAUGUCGGAUUAGCUAGUUGGCGGGGUAAAGGCCCACCAAGGCGACGAUCCGUAGCUGGUCUGAGAGGAGGAUCAGCCACACUGGAACUGAGACACGGUCCAGACUCCUACGGGGGGCAGCAGUGGGGAAUAUUGGACAAUGGGCGCAAGCCUGAUCCAGCCAUACCGCGUGGGUGAAGAAGGCCUUCGGGUUGUAAAGCCCUUUUGUUGGGAAAGAAAAGCAGCAGGUUAAUACCCCGCUGUUCUGACGGGACCCAAAGAAUAAGCACCGGCGAACUUCGU